rnacentral:lncRNA from 1 species
GUCUGGCCUGCUGGGUACCGUUCNUUUUCUCGCCUGCCUUCGAAGUGAGUGCACGUGUGAGUGGACGGCUCGCUGCUGGGCAGCCUGGAGGGAGACGGAGGGCGGCUGUCUGGAUGUCGUCAGGGGCCAGCACCCGUCUGUUUCUCCGUGCAUUUCCACACCAGAAGGUUCAAUGGCAGUUGAGAUACCUGAGAAUUGGGGGAAAGCUGCAUCUUCUUUUGUCCGGACAAGNUCUGAGGACAGAAGGAUUUGGAUAAUCUCCAAGAUGAAAGCGGAAGCACCUCGAUUCAGCGCUGCAACACCAACUGGAUGAAUCAUCUCAGUUCACCCGAGGAUUCUAGCCAUGCCCAGUCCUCUCUAGGAAGUUGAGUUUCCAGCAGAAUCAGGUGCAAGGGGAGAUGAAAUUGCGCCGAAGUAGCCCGCCAAGGUGCCGUGUCCUGAACUGCAUCGCNCAUCUACCUGAGGCAAUUUGGUGUCCCCUGCACAGGACGCCGGCUUCAUUUGCAGAACUGCCGAAUUCCGGGUCAGUAUGGAAACACCGUAACUUUGCUCUGGAAAGCUUAGCAUUAGCCCUUCACCUUAUCGAUACCCUGAGUCACUUUGAUUGAGUCCUUGUACUGAAGGAAAGGAAAUUAAGAACUUCGCACACUAUUUUCCUUUGUUACCAGGGCCUGGAUCUAAAAUGUUAUUCCCUCUUCUUCUAGUCUUGUAAGCAAUAAAGUUCAAUGUUAACAAGUAAUGUUUUGGUUU